rnacentral:rRNA from 1 species
UGCAGUCGAGCGGACCGACGGGAGCUUGCUCCCUUAGGUCAGCGGCGGACGGGUGAGUAACACGUGGGUAACCUGCCUGUAAGACUGGGAUAACUCCGGGAAACCGGGGCUAAUACCGGAUGCUUGAUUGAACCGCAUGGUUCAAUCAUAAAAGGUGGCUUUUAGCUACCACUUACAGAUGGACCCGCGGCGCAUUAGCUAGUUGGUGAGGUAACGGCUCACCAAGGCGACGAUGCGUAGCCGACCUGAGAGGGUGAUCGGCCACACUGGGACUGAGACACGGCCCAGACUCCUACGGGAGGCAGCAGUAGGGAAUCUUCCGCAAUGGACGAAAGUCUGACGGAGCAACGCCGCGUGAGUGAUGAAGGUUUUCGGAUCGUAAAACUCUGUUGUUAGGGAAGAACAAGUACCGUUCGAAUAGGGCGGCACCUUGACGGUACCUAACCAGAAAGCCACGGCUAACUACGUGCCAGCAGCCGCGGUAAUACGUAGGUGGCAAGCGUUGUCCGGAAUUAUUGGGCGUAAAGCGCGCGCAGGCGGUUUCUUAAGUCUGAUGUGAAAGCCCCCGGCUCAACCGGGGAGGGUCAUUGGAAACUGGGGAACUUGAGUGCAGAAGAGGAGAGUGGAAUUCCACGUGUAGCGGUGAAAUGCGUAGAGAUGUGGAGGAACACCAGUGGCGAAGGCGACUCUCUGGUCUGUAACUGAC